rnacentral:rRNA from 1 species
AUGCUUCUGCUGCUGACGUCCAUGGAGACGCUGCUGCUGCGGAUCGAGAAAGCAAAGAAAUUAGGGGGAGGAUGUGAGAGAGAAGGAAGGAGAGGAGAGGUCAGGGAGAGCCCCGGUGUUUUACCCCUACUGGGGCAUCUCUACUCCAGGGAGAAAGGAGGGGACCAGCGGCACAUGGAGGAGAGGAGGCCAUCAAGGCGAUCGUGGAGGGGGCGGCGGCGUGGGAGAGGAUGGAGCGAGGAGGACAUGAGGCGAAGGGGGAGCGGGGCUGGGGAGUACAUGCCGACGGCCGGUAGGUCAAAUUGUCGCGCCACCGCGUCGUCGCCUCCUCUGCGCCAGGAGGCGCCACCUCUGCCUCCACCCUCCACUAGGCAAGGAGCUCGAGGUGAACAGGCGGUGGGAAGGUGA